rnacentral:lncRNA from 1 species
CUUUAAUAGCGUUUUAAUGUUUUUGAAACAGAUGGGAUGUAGUUUUUAUACAAAUGUUAAAACUACAUGAACGGUGAUCAUUUAUUAUAAAGAUAAGAAACAUUGUUCGAAUAAGACUCAUUAAAAUACCAAUCAUUUGAAAAUUAUUUUGUCCUGCGAAAAAUAUACUUCUAGUUAAACAAUGAAAUAUAACAUUUUCUUCUUUGUGAUUGUGAUUAUUUUCGAGAAUGUCAUUCAUGGUGCAGAGGG